rnacentral:rRNA from 1 species
GACAGAGGUGCCAAGCGUUAGGCGGAAUCACUGGGCUUAAAGCGUGUGUAGGCGGACUGGUAAGUACCUUGUGAAAUCCCACGGCUCAACCGUGGAACUGCUUGGUAUACUGCUUGUCUUGAGCCACUUAGGGGCUGUCGGAACAAACGGUGGAGCGGUGAAAUGCGUAGAUAUCGGGAGGAACACCAGUGGCGAAGGCGGUUGCCUGGGGCUUUGCUGACGCUGAGGCGCGAAAGCGUGGGGAGCGAUCCGG